UAUAUAUAUAUAUUUUUAAAUGACAGUGUAAUGAGCUAAAGUGCCCUAAUCCCCAGUAUCUCAGAAAGAAACUGUGUUUGGAGAUGAAGGUUCUUAAAGAAGUGAAACGAGGUCAUGAGAGUGAGCCCUAACCCAGCGUGAUUGGUGUGCCUGUAAGAAGAGGAAAUUUGGACAAGGGUACGUGCAGAGGGAAACCCAUGGGAAGACACAGGGAGAAGACAGCCAUCCAAAAACCAAAGAGAGAGGACUCAGGAGAGGCGAGGCGGAUGGCGCUCACACUCUGAGCUCAGACUUCCAGCCUCCAGCAGUGUGAGAAAACAAGUUUUUGUUGUGUAAGCCCCGGGCCGUGGCACCUUGUCACUGCAGCCCUUAGCAAACUAACACAGACCGCCGGGCGCGGUGUGCUGAGGGCUGAGGGUCCGAGGCUGGCGCAGGCCCUGCGGGGCUGUGUUCCCCUGGCUGCCACCGUCCCGGGCCUGGAGGGCCUCUGGCUGCCCGUCUCCCGGGAGGUUGCUCUCAGAGCGCCUUAUGCCCGGGCUUGGCUUUCAUGACGCUCUCACGCCAGGGCUGUGUCUACUUCUCCCCGACCCGACCCGACCCGACCCGACGCAGCGCUUCCAGGGUAACCGUGUCUGUCCUACUCCCAGGGCCUGGCACAGAGGCGGCCCCAGCAGGGGUAGGGGAAAAAGGAGCAAAGAAGAGAAAAAGAAAAUUCAUGGGGUGACUGUAAAGCUUCAUGAAGUCUGACCCUGAACAAACACCCUGGCAACAUUGGGAGUGCUGGCUCAACAAAGCCAUUUUAGUUUCUUAGUUCUUGAACCAGGAGACUUUGGAGAAGACAUGAAGCACCUUCCUCAGGAUCCUCCUGAGCAAGAAGGUGAGUGGUGGAGGGGGAGGGAGAGACUAUCAGG
rnacentral:lncRNA from 12 species